rnacentral:lncRNA from 1 species
CAUAGUAAGUAUUACUGUAAAGCAUGAAUGUAAUAUUUAUAUAUAUUUGUAUAUAGGAGGUAUAUUUUUUAUAGAUCAUGCGCUACAAACCCUUUGUGGAAAAUUAUGAUAUUAAGCCUCACUUAGUUUAUGACUAUAAUUAUAUAUAUGAAUUAACUAAAUUAUGAGAUGUAUAUAUUUAUUCAAAAUUGAAUACCUGUUAACAGCGUCUGUGAAUAUUGUAAGUUGAUCCAAUGUCGCGUGAACGUCGAAAAUGUCAUCAAUGACAUAAAUUAGAGAGAUAGGUUUGGUGAGCUCAAUCCUUUGUUCUGAAAAGUUUGGAUCUGUAAAGCAUGCCAUGGGCCAUGUGUACCAUUUUAGAGGUUGAUACUCUGAAAACUUCACCUCCUUGGCUAGUCCAAGUUCUUUCCACCAUCUAUCAUUUGAGAGAAUAAUUACAUUAGUGAUUUCUAUCUAAAUUUUGAAUAGUUAUAAGGUCAACAUAGAUUUUUAAUUAGAAAACAUACUUGGAAACUUCAAUGGUCUCAUUCUGAUUCCUGAACCUAACUAUGGUGGAAUUGAUUUUAGCAAGUUCCUCUAAACAUAUCAAAUCCUUCUCAGCCUUCAAAUCAUGGAUGAAUGUGCUUUUAUCCAUAAAUCUUGACAAGCCAUAGUGAAGAGGAUUCUGAAGAGUGUUUACAACAUGUAUAGCUUCAUUAUGUUCUUGGUUUCUUGAUAGCCAAUUAUGUAGAAGCUCACGGCAGAGAUAUCCUACAUCGUUAAGACUAUCUUCUCCGUCAAUACUUAGUUGUGAUGCUUCGUAAAGGGCAAUGAGGCCUUUCAAAUCCUCACCAUGUUUUUCUUCAAACAUUCUUUUGUUGCACUUCAAGCUGUCAAAUAAAUCUACACAACAAUUAUAGUUAGUCACUAUAUUACUAAAUACUCCUAUAGUAAAAUUAUGUAUUCAAAUGUAGAGAGGGUACGAAUUAAACUAACCUGCAUUGACAUAGUGGCCUCCUUGUCUCAGCAAGCGGAAUGCAAGUGAAAAUUCAUAGAGUUCAUGGCUAUUCACAAAAUCAAUAGGAUUGGUGUUCAAUAUCAAAUGUAGCUUUUCAAGAGCCACUUUGAUCUCCUCAGCAAAAUAGUGUUCAAUGCCAAACCUUUGGAUGAUAUCGAUCAAAUAAAAACUCUCCAUCGAAUCUUCGAUUUUAACAAGUUUCUUAUAAACUUGCUUAAAUAUCAAAGCUUGCUUAACAUAUGUAACAUCCUGAAAAAGUCAAAGUGCAGAUUGAUCAGAACAUUGAAAUAAAGCUAUGUUGUAACUAAGUUUAGAAUAACUGUAUAUAUUUGUACUUCAGUUAAAAUACUUACCAUUCUAGAAAUUAAUGCUUUGAUAAUAAAACAGACUUGAUUCGGUGUUUAUAGCUGGGGAUUGUUAAGAUGAUUAUUUUGAAGAAAUGGGAAUGAUAUGUUGAGCUAUUUAUAGUUUAACAUUGCACUCGUUUCAUAUUUGCUCUUUUGAGCUACUGGUAGAUUGAAGGUCAGCAUGUGUAUGCAGCAUGUGCAUUGUAACACAUUAAUUUAUUUAGUUAUAAUAUUGAUGCAUUAUGUCGCUGACUUCAUGUUGUCUAUUCAUGACUUUUCAACACUAAAUAACAAAACAAAUAUUAAUUUAAAGGAGAACAUGUUUCUUUUAUUAAAAUAUAUAAUCAAUGCCCAUUCUUCCACACAAAAAAUGUGCCUUACGUUAAUACUUGUUUAUUUUGUGAGGCACUCUAGAUUGAUCUGAAUUUGUUGGUUUAAUUUAAAGUUUCUAUUGAACAUUCAAAUAUAAUAUAAAGAAUUAUGCAAGAACCACACUCUUUUCAACAAACUCUCUUUAGUUGGUUGGAUUUUAAAUGGGCCUCACUAAAUUAAUGGGAGCUACAUGAUUUAAUAUAACUCAUUUGACUUGCAACAAAUUAGAGAAUGUGUUGGAGAUAGUGUAUUAAAUAGUGUGUUACUAUCGCUCCUCGUAAUGUAUUUGUUUAGAAGAUAAAGUAAAUUGUAAAGGUAAAGAAGCCGCUUUGGUUGAUGUUCUUGAUAAAUUUCUAUAUGAUUUUUCUUUAUGAGAAUGUUAACAACACUCUCUCUAAUACUUACUCUCUUAUUGGUGGGUAAUUUACCUUAAUCAAUGAGCAUUCACCUUUUUAGAUGGUAUCCAUAAACUAUCUUGACCCCACCAAUAAAUUGUUCAUUUUCAUCGGUUGAUGGGUAAAUUACCCAUCAUACUUCAAAGGUAAUCUAGAAAAAACCUUAUGUUAAAUAUCCACGUGAUCGCUACUUUAAGUGGUACUCAUUUCUAAAAUAUUUGACUUAUAUUAAUUUCAUUCAAUAAAAAAUAAGUGUUAGAGCAUAGUGUGUUAGAAUGAAAAUGUUUUUAACAUUUCUCUUUUCUUCACUAUAUAGUAAGAGCAAUGCUAGUAACACAUAUUUUAACACACUUUAAUCGGUUAAAAUUCACAUGGACCCCAAAAAAGACUCCUAAACAUACUCUGCUGAAGCGAAAAAGUGAUUCUAAAUGAAUGCCAAUAUAACAGUGAUUCUAUAAAAUGUUUGGUUCAUAUAUAUAAACAGAAUACAUCACACAAAAAGCAAACAUAUCACAUAUUCAACUAAUUUUCCAUAUCCACAGCUUGAGUUAAAACCUAUGAAGCAUUAACACAUACACGAUCAUGUAACACGUGGACACCGGUAAUAAUUUGAGAAAAUGACAAAAUUGAAUGUAAUUACAUGUGUCGGUAUCAGAAACAAGCAUGUGUCAGACACCGGACACGUCUUCCGUUAGAAGUGUCGGUGUUACAAAGGUCAAUUUAUUUGGGAAAUGGAGAGAGAAAGAAGUAUAUGAAAGACACUUGUUAUUCAAUAACAUUCAAGUUCAGCGAAAAACUCUAACUAACUUCUAGUCUCUAUUAACAACCUUGUAAGCUACAUUACAAGCAACAAUUACUUCCUAUUUUCUACUUUGAAUUACAAUCAACAGAAAGAAAAAACACUAACUCAAGAUUCAAUUACAAGUGCAUCCAUAUUUUGUUUUCCUUCAGGUUAUUUGGUAUAACAUGAUUACACAUAGGAUCCAUAAACAGCACCCCCGUAUUUACCUUGUCAUGAAUCAUUUAUUAUAGAAUGAAAAAUGAUAUUCUGAGACGAAACUUUUAUGCUUUGUUGAUUAAUGAUUAUUAGAACCGAGAUGCAUAUUUUUCCUGUGCUUCACAUGUAGUUAAAAAUUUGCCAAGAACCAUGACCGAUCACCCUGUAAUGAGAGUAAACUCUAAUUUAAUAAUGCUUAUCACCAGGCCCCUGAUUUAAUAACUUCAUUCCUUUAUGGUUUGGUUAGGGUAAGCUUUUAACUUGUUUAAAAUAUUAACAGAGCUAGAAAAACAAAAAUUUCAGCAUAAAAAUUUCAGAACUAGACCCUUAAUGUUAUUUUAUGUUUAGUGCAAAAGGGAAAUGAGGAUCUAAUGAGAUUUUUUAGGUUUUGACUUUUGGUUCUUUGAUUUCAAGCUUGGUAUUACAGACCUUAGUCUGCACUCUGGAAUUUUCAAAUAUUUAGAUAAUUGCAAGUUUAAAGGAGUUUUGUCAACAUGUUGUAACUAGUAAUUGUUUGCCUCCUUCCAUGGAACCAAAACUCAAAGCAAAUGCCCGAGUAAUUUUAAUAACUUCAUUCCUUUAUGGUUUGGUUAGCUCCUUUCUUCUUUGAUGGUCUCUCAGCGUUUCUCUGUUUAACUCUCUCUAAAAUAAGUGAUAUCCGCUGGAAAUGACUUGGAAGCUAUUUAUACCAUGUCUGGUAAGUAACUGCUCACUUAGCCAUGCCCAGGCUCACCGUGGCGAGCGAAGCUUUCUUCACCAAUGGGUUUCUGCCACAUCAGCAAAGUGGCCCUCAAACCACCUUAGCUCCCGUGGCGAGCUCAUGUCUUUCUCAGCCACGCCUUGUUUUUCUGAUUUUCCUUGCUCUCUGUCUACCCUCACUGCAGCUUCGCUAUGGCGAGCCUCUUGGCCAUGACCUCAUUGUGGGCUCGUUGUGGCCAUGGUGACAGCAUCUGAUUUUCUUCACUUUCUGACUUGCCUUCGCUUUGGUCUCGCUUUGAGCUUGCUUAGCAAACCUCUUGACAUAUUUUUCUUUCCUUUUUUAUCUUAAAGUCCAUGGCAAGUGAAUUUUACCUACAUAAAUGUUGGUAUUAGACAUAAAACGCACAUAUUGCUAUUUUUCUAUUAAUUUGGAGCUUUUACAUAGAUAAUUUGCAAAACAAGUUAAUAAGUGCCUUAAUUAUACAUGUGAUUUAUCCAAUUUCUGGCACUUACCAACUCGCAAACAAAACCUUGUUGAAUUAGAGAGAAAGAACUAUAUGAAAUUAAAGACACUUGUUAUUAAAUUAGAGAGAAAGAAGUAUAUGAAAGACACUUAUUAUUGAAUGGAAUUGUUGAGUGAAGAAGUGGUUGUUAAAACUGUGUAUUACUCCUUUUAUAGAGGAGGAUAACACUCACUCACCGUAGUUCCUUGUCAGGCAAGUAACCAUUCAAAUUAACAACCUUGUAAGCACCAUUACAAGAAACAGCUACUUCCUAUUUUAUAGUUUGAAUUACAAUCGAUAGAAAUAAAAAAACACUAACCCAAGAUUCAAUAACUGUGCUUUGGUAUACCACGAUUACACAUAGGCUCCAUAAACAACACCCUGGAAUUUAGCUGGUGAUGAAUCAUUGAAUAGUUCAGAAACAAGCGAGGUUUUGUCUGUCUUGGCUGGGUCAUGAAAUGUUGCUACAGAGAGCCUUGCUCUAUCAUAAUACAAUGCUAGUCAGCCACAUAUCCUAUAAAAGCUUGGUUUCAUGUAUGGAUAUUGUUGUAAACUCAAAAAUCACUAUGAAUGAAAGAUAAUAUUUUGAUAUGAAACUUUUAUUCUUUCAUACAUAGAUACAUGAGCAAACAUCCUAUACAAGCAUGGCAUAUUUUCUUGUGCUUCACGUGAAGUUAUGGGUUUUCUAUGAACCUUGACCCAACCACACUCAACGUCCUUCCUACAAUGAUCUUAAACACAAUCAGAAAAACACAAUUGUUCGCAUGAUUAGUCGUAAUUGAAAGCUUGCCUCGAUGUCUAAAUAAGUAAAUUACAUUAUUGAAUAAUUGACUUGCACUGAUUAAUUGGAUCUCAGUAAUGUGAUGACACUCAGAAACUCUUAGUUUCAUGUACUUUAGUCACCUUGACAACAUGGUAUAAGAUUCAUUUUAGUCAUGUNUUAACAGCGUCUGUGAGUAUUGUAAGUUGGUCCAAUGUCCCGUGAACAUCGAAAAGGUCAUCAAUAACAUAAAUUAAAGAGAUAGGUUUGGUGAGUUCAACCCUUUGUUCUGAAAAGUUUGGAUCUGUAAAGCAUGCCAUGGGCCAUGUGUACCAUUUGAGAGGUUGAUACCCAGAAAACUUCACCUCCUUGGCUAGUCCAAGUUCUUUCCACCAUCUAUCAUUGGAGAGAACAAUUACGUUAGUGAUCUCUAUCUAAAUUUUGAAUAGUUAUAAGGUCAACAUAGAUUUUUAAUUAGAAAAACAUACUUGGAAACCUCAAUGGUCUCAUUCUGAUUCAUGAACCUAACCAUGGUGGAAUUGAUUUUAGCAAGUUCCUCUAAACAUAUCAAAUCCUUCUCAGCCUUCAAAUCAUGGAUGAAUGUGCUUUUAUCCAUGAAUCUUGACAAGCCAUAGUGAAGUGGAUUCUGAAGAGUGUUUGCAACAUGUAUAGCUUCAUUAUGUUCUUGGUUUCUUGAUAGCCAUCCAUGUAGAAGCUCACGGCAGAGAUAUCCUACAUCGUUAAGACUAUCUUCUCCUUCAAUACUUAGUUGUGAUGCUUCGUAAAGUGUAAUUAGACCUUUUACUUCUUCUCCAUGUUUUUCUUUCAACAUUCUUUUGUUCCACUUCAAGCUGUCAAAUAAAUCUACACAACAAUUAUAGUUAGUCACUAUAUUACUAACUAAAUACUCCUAGUAAAUUAUAUAUUCAAAUGUGGAGAGGGUACGUAUUAAACUAACCUGCAUUUACGUAAUGGCCUCCUUGUCUCAGCAAGCGGAAUGCAAGUGCAACUUCAUAGAGUUCAUGGCUACUUACAAAAUCAAUAGGAUUGUUGUUCAAUAUCAAAUGUAGUUUUUCAAGAGCCACUUUGAUCUCCUCGGUAAAGUAGUGUUCAAUGCCAAACCUUUGGAUAAUAUCAAUCAAAUAAAAACUUUCCAUCGGAUCUUCGAUUUUAACAAGUUUCUUAUAAACUUGCUUGAAUAUCAAAGCUUGUUUGACAUAUGUAACGUCCUGAAAAUGUAAAAGUGUAGAUUGAUCAGAACAUUGCAAUAAAAAGAUAUUCUAAAUUUAGAACAAUUGUAUAUAUUUGUACUUCAAUUAAAAUACUUACCAUUCUGGAAAUUAAUGCUUUGAUAAUAAAACAGACUUGAUUCAGUGUUUAUAGCUGGGGAUAUUGUUAAGAUGUGAACUGUGAAGUGGUUUGCUAUAGCUCAAGGAAGAUGGUUAUUUUGAAGAAAUGGGAAUGACAUGUAGAGCUAUUUAUAGCAUAACAUUUCACACGGUUCAUAUUUGUUCUUUUGAGCUACUUGUAUAUUGAAGGUCAACAUAUGUAUGCAUAUGUGCAUUGUAACACAUUAAUUUAUUCAGUUAUAAUAUUGAUGGCAGCUGAUAAAUAAAAUAGACAGUUUAAGUUUGAAACGAUGUUUGUUGCAUUAUGUUAACUCACUUCAUGUUGUCUAUUCAUGACUUUCUACUCUAAAUAACAAUAAUUAAUUUAAAGGAGAACAUGUUUCUUAUAUUAAAUAUAUAAACAAAAAUUAAUUUAAAGGAGAACACAUGUUUCUUAUAUUAAUAUAUCUAAUCAAUGUCCAUGCUUCCACACAAAAAAUGUGCCUUACGUUAAUACUACACUUGUUUAUUUUUUUGAGGCAAUUUAGAUCGAUCUGAAUUUGUUGGUUUAGUCCAAAGUUUCUAUUGAACAUUCAAAUAUAUACAACUAAGACACUCUAUUUAACAUACUCUCUUUUGUUUUAUUAUGAUUUUUUAAAAAGCAGUAACAAACGCAUUGCAAUACUCUUAAAAUUGAUUAUAUUACUAGCAUUAAUCAUUUGAUAAACACACGGUUUUUACUUCGCCCAAAGUUAUACAACUUGAGACACGACACUAAGAGUGUGUUUGGAUGGAGGGUUUAGAAGAGGAAGGGAGGGGAGGGUUUAGUUUUCAUUUUUAAAUUACAGAUAUUGUGAAAUAUUUUUUAAAAAGUUAACAUAUUUGAAGGUGAGAAAAACACAAGAAUGGGGGUUGAAUUGUGUUAGCUUUUUCUUCUUUUUCUCCUAAGCUGAAAAACAUUGAUCAGAAGAUCUGAAGUGAUGUUCAGAACUAGAUGCAGCGGAUAAAACAGAGAGAGAGAGAGAGAGAUAGAGAUAGAGAGAGAGAGAGAGGAAAGACACAAAGCAAUUAUACAGGUUCCUUCCACAAACCGGAAGUCAGUCAUGUCCCCCUUGCACUUCCAAGGAGAGUUCACUAUGUAAUAUCUGAUUACAAUUGCUCACUGCUAAAACUAGCAAGAAACUUCAAAUUGCUCAAGCACAACUGCAAGAGACUUCCUAUGCUGCUGAACACAAUCAAGAGACUUCUAAUGCUCAAGCACAACUGCAAGAGACUUCUUAAUUCAAACAUAAUUACAAGAAAAAUGUUUGAGGUUGAACACUUGAUAUACAAUCAGUGGUGUUCACAAUACAAAUCAGAUACAGACUCUUAAGACUCUAGAAUUUCUAAGAUAUGAACUUUGAUAAGAAAUUCUAAGUGAACUUUUGAAUGCAGAACAAUUUCAGCAGAGUUUUGGCACUUGUAAUUCUUGGUAUUGUUCUGUACAAAACUCUAAGUCUUCACUCCUUUAUAUAGAGGUGUGAAAGAGACGUUGUGAAUUGCCAGCACAUCAAAAUAGAGUCGUUUGAAGCUUUGAUCAAUCACCAAUGAUCUUUUGCCUGCUAUGGUUAUUGUCCUAUGAAGGAUCAAUUUCAAAUCCAUUCCCAUUGUGAAGGAACAUCGUUGCAGGCAGAGCUGUUUUUCUUGUUUUGUACCAGAGACAAAAACUGAGUAGUGGAGGUAGUGGUUGUACACUUCGUACAAUUGUAUUUUGUCAACGCUCUUUGAAGAACAAGCAUCCAAUGCCAUUAAAUCCUUUCAAAAUAGUCGUUGCUUCACUCUUCCAAUCUUCUGCAAUGCAUAGACGAGAUUAAAUCCAUUGAACAGCCUUUGAAGCUUUAAGUCUUGCAUCUCCUGAUGAAAUAGAGCUUCUGGUGAUUUUCAGCUUCUAAUGUACUUGCUUCUGAUGAACUUGCUUCUGAUGACGUCACCACUUCAGGAGCACUUUGUCUUCAGGAGCAGUUCUCUUCAGACGUUUUAAGCUUCCUUUUUGUUGAUUUCUUUACUCUCUAUUGUUCUUCCAGAACCUUUUUAAGAUUUCAAAUUUUUGUCUAUGGUCAUGUACACUUGAACAAAUAUUAGCAUAUCCAAUUGACAAUUUUUAAUACCUUGUUAUCAUCAAAACUCUCAAAGGGUAGUGUUAAACACACUUUGUUCCAACAAUAUUAACAUAAUAAACGAUAAUAUAAUACUUCAACCACACUUGAUUUAUCUUAGAAAAACAUGUUAUAUCGUCCGUAAUUUAAAAAAGAAAAGUAAACCCUCCCCUCCCUUCCCCUCCUAAAUCCUCAGUCCAAACACACCCUAAAUAUAUAUUGACUUUUCUCACAAUCAAAAUUUGAAUUUUAGCUCAUCACAGUUUGAAGAGAUAGACACUUCCUGAGGUUAACAUGCAUGAAUAUUACUUACAAUGUAUAGUAGUAAUAUAUGGGAAUCAAGAAUGAAGCAAAAAAUACAUACAUCACAUACAAAUCAGUUUAGCCAUGCGUGUUAUUUGAACAACUAUUAUAUGGGACAACCUUUGGAACAACCACUUUAUAUAGGAGUGUUAUAAAAGUUGUCUUAAAAUGGUUGUUUAAAUAUCAUUUCUCUUUCCCAAAAGACUCAUAAACAUACUCUGCUGAAGCGAAAAGUGAUUCUAAAUGAAUGCCAAUAUUACAGUGAUUCUAUAAAGUGCUUGCUUCAUAUAUAUAAACAGAACACAUCACACAAAAAACAAACAUAUCACAUAUUCAACUAAUUUUCCAUAUCCACAGCUUUAGUUAUAACCUAUGAAGCACUAACACAUACAAAAACACGUAACACGUUGACACCGGUAAUAUAAUUUGAGAAAAUGUAAAAAUUGAAUACAAUUACAUGUGUCGGUGUCAAAAACAAGCAUGUGUCAAACAAUGGACAUGCCUUCCGUCAAAAGUGUCGGUGUUACAUAGUUGAAUUUAUUUGGGAAAUGGAGAGGAUCCCAACCCAAACUUUUGAUGAAUUAGAGAGAAAGAAGUAUAUGAAAGACACUUGUUAUUCAAUGACAUCGUUGAAUGAAGAAAUUGUUGUUAGAACUGUGCAUUACCCCUUUUUAUAGAGGAGGAUAACACUUGAUAACCGUAAUUACUUGUCAGGCAAGUAACCAUUCAAGUUAGCAAAAAACUGUAGCUAACUUCUAGCCUCUAUUAACAACCUUGAAAGCUACAUUAUAAGCAACAACUACUUCCUAUUUUCUAGUUUGAAUUACAAUCAACAGAAGAACAAAAAAAAAAAAAACUAACUCAAGAUUCAAUAACAAGUGCAUCAAUAUUUUGUUUUCCAUAGGUUUGGUUAGGGUAAGCUUUUAACUUGUUGAAAAUAUUAACAGAGCUAGAGGAACGAAAACUUCAGCAUGCAAUUUUCAGAACUAGACACUUAAUGUUAUUUUAUGCUUAAUGUAAAAGGGAAAUGAGGAUCUAAGGAGAUUUUUUAGGUUUUGAGUUUUGAUUCUUUGAUUUAAAGCUUGGUCUUACAGGACCUUAGUCUGCACUCUGGAAUUUUCAAAUAUUUAGAUAAAUGCAAGAUUAAAGGAGUUUUGUCAACAUAUUGUAACUAGUAAGUACUUGUUUGCCUCCUUCCAUGGAACCAAAACUCAGAGCAAAUGCCCCAAUAAUUGAUAUGAUUACCGUUCCAUGCAUUUUACUAUGGCACAAAAACAAGAGAAGAUCGACAAAUUUAACAUGUUUCAUAUUUUGAUUCUACGUAAUCUUAUAUUAAUACUCUUUAAAGUUCGACAUCAAUGAGAGUCUCCCAACAAAAAUUGAAGUGUAAAGGAACCAUGAGAACAAUAUUGCCUAACUGAAAUUACAAAUCAAUAUGUUGUACAUAAACAACAGAUUACAAUAUUUGAAAAUGUACUAAUUACACCCAACACUAACAUUAAUCAAUGACUUGACAUGUUCCUGGAGAUUAGAGAGGCUUGGUUUGCUCUUAUAGUGGUACAUGAGGGGAACCAUUCUAGCAGCAUUCAGACAAAAGUUGGAAAAUGAUGAUGAAAACUGAUUUGCAACCAGAAUUUCUUGAUUGAGAAAUUUCCAUUCAUUUGAAAUCAUGUGAGCAACAUGUCCUUGCACGUCUUCACUGGAAAUAUCUUGGUGUUCACUCAUGUAGCAAUCAAGGUAUGACCCAUCAAGACCAUUUUGAUCUCCACUCUGCAUUCAUCCAUGAUAAUUCUUAUCAUUAGAACUUUACAUUUAACAAUCGAGUUAAGUGGUUGAACAAUUUAAUCGAAUACUUGUUUAAUAUUCUAAUUUAGGAGACAUAUUUCAUACCUUAGCUCCUUCUAAAUCAUCAGAGAGACGAAGAAUUUUUGCCACUGAAUAUAUGACAUUUGGAAACUUUUCAUCCAAGAUAUCAAUUGUUUGCUUUGUUAUACCAUUAACAUGAUCCAACAGGAAGAAUGCAUGUAUAAGCACAACAUGAACUCCAGUGCUCACGAUUCCAUUAUUCAAGUAAUCCUCUGCCCUUGGCAGGUGACUAGAAUUCAACCAAUGAGCCUCCUCCAUGAAAGCGUUCAAUAAGAGUACCCACUGUUUCACGCAAAUAAUUUUAUAUAUACUCAGCCAUUUGAAAACAUAAUUUAUAUAUAUGAUGGAAAAAAGAAAAAAAAAGGCUAGUUAGUGUACCGAUUUUUUAAGUGUGUCUAUAGGGUUGAAUCCAUGCUUUUUGUAGACCAUUUCAGCAAAAUUAUUGGUAAUGUCGUAAAGUGCAUUCAAAGCUAUUUUCAUGAAGUUUGGAAGUUGCUCUGUUCCAGUGAUUUCCCACCUGAAUGAAGAAAUCAUUUCAUAGUAAGUAUGAGAGUGAAGCAUCAGUGUAAUUUAUUAUAUCUUUCCAAAUGUAUAUUUUUUUAUAGAUUAUGGGCUUGAAACCUUUGGUGGAAAAAAUAUGAUAUUAAAUCUCACUUAUUGCAGGACUAUAAAUAUGUAUUCAAAAUUUAAUACCUGUUAACAGCAUCUGUGAGUAUUGUAAGUUGGUCCAAUGUCCCGUGAACAUCGAAAAGGUCAUCAAUAACAUAAAUUAAGGAGAUAGGUUUGGUGAGUUCAACCCUUUGUUCUGAAAAGUUUGGAUCUGUAAAGCAUGCCAUGGGCCAUGUGUACCAUUUGAGAGGUUGAUACCCCGAAAACUUCACCUCCUUGGCUAGUCCAAGUUCUUUCCACCAUCUAUCAUUUGAGAGAAUAAUUACGUUAGUGACCUCUAUCUAAAUUUUGAAUAAUUAUAAG